AGGGGUAUAGCUCAGUGGUAUAGUGUGUGCUUAGCAUGCACAAGAUCCAGGGUUUAAUCCUCAGUACCUCUA
rnacentral:tRNA from 1 species